rnacentral:rRNA from 1 species
AUUGAACGCUGGCGGCGGGCUUAACACAUGCAAGUCGAGCGGAGAUGAGGUGCUUGCACCUUAUCUUAGCGGCGGACGGGUGAGUAAUGCUUAGGAAUCUGCCUGUUAGUGGGGGACAACAUUCCGAAAGGAAUGCUAAUACCGCAUACGCCCUACGGGGGAAAGCAGGGGAUCUUCGGACCUUGCGCUAAUAGAUGAGCCUAAGUCGGAUUAGCUAGUUGGUGGGGUAAAGGCCUACCAAGGCGACGAUCUGUAGCGGGUCUGAGAGGAUGAUCCGCCACACUGGGACUGAGACACGGCCCAGACUCCUACGGGAGGCAGCAGUGGGGAAUAUUGGACAAUGGGCGGAAGCCUGAUCCAGCCAUGCCGCGUGUGUGAAGAAGGCCUUUUGGUUGUAAAGCACUUUAAGCGAGGAGGAGGCUACCUGGAUUAAUACUCUAGGAUAGUGGACGUUACUCGCAGAAUAAGCACCGGCUAACUCUGUGCCAGCCGCCGCAGUAAUAC